AGUAGUAGGGGAAGUGGUCUAGGGAGGAGUAGUAGGAAGUGGACUAGGGGAGGAGUAGUAGGGGAAGUGGACUAGGGGAAGUGUGACAGUAUUAUAGCAGGCCAUACAUUUGUUGUUUUAAAAUGUAGCAAAUAUUAAAGAGUGUUAAUGAUGUCAAAAUAAUUUAUUUGUUCCCUUCAAUCUUAAGCAAGAAGAUCAGUGUGUGUGUGUGUGUGUGUGUGUGUGUGUGUGUGUGUGUGUGUGUGUGUGUGUGUGUAAACUAACCUGCUGCUGUGUUUCACUGUGAUUUUCAUUGAAACCCGAAUAGAAAUUCUAUAAACAGCAUGUCUUCUGUUUAUUAUAGAGCAUUUACCACUGUACAACGAGUGUGUGUGUGUGUGGGUGUGUGUUAAUAUUAAAAUGUUUAUCAAUUCAUCUGAUUUCUGUUUCUUCAACAACUUACAACAGGUCUUUAUCUCACAGACAGACAGACAGAAAGACAGACAUGUCUUUAUCUCAGACAGACAGGUCUUUCACUUACAGACAGACAGACAGGUCUUUCUUUCACAGACAGAAAUCUUUUUCUCACAGACAGUCAGAAGGAUAUUUCUCUUACAGACAGACAGACAGACAGACAGGUCAAAGGUGAGUUGAUUCACAUCAGACUUUAUUGUAUUUUAAUUUCAAUAGUAAAUUGGUAAACGUUGUCAUGGUGAUAAAUGAACCUUUGCUAGUUUGUCUAUAGUGAGGUUUCAGCAGAUCAAUUAACAACAACGACAACAAUAACAACAACAAUCAUAAUAAUAACCUAAAAGGGUAAUGAUUGGCAUAGUCGAGCAGUAAUGAGGUUUUUUCUCAAGGAAGACCGUUCGCUUCUGACAUCCUUCUAUCAUCACCAAAUCCAGACCUCAAUAACCAAUCAGCUUUAAACCCACGGUGUUCCUCAUUACAACACACGUCCACACUGAUGUCAUUAACAACUCUGAAUCCAUCAAGCAUUUAUUAUAGUAAUGUAUAAACAAAUAAAAAAAUACCCAUAAUGCACUGUGGGAGAGACGCAAGAAAAAGGAAGCUGUUAAUAACACAAAGAAAAAAAACCCAGAACAUAAAUACAGCCAUGAGCAGCAAUCACCGGGGUCCAAGCACUGAUCCACAAAUAGACCCUAAUCCUUCAGUCCUGUCAUUUUAGAAUCAUUUGUUUUAUUUAGAGAUGAUCACUAAGCCACGCCCUCCUUACCAGGAUUUAUAAAUACAGCAUAGAUUAUAAUAACUCCCAAAUAAAAUGUGAGGAACCAAAUGCUUGUAGUCCUCCUGCUCUAUAGCACCACCAUCAGGCGACGUGUAGAUCGGAUUGGAUCGGACAUGCCGCCAUCCUGCUACAUUUCUACACGCUACAGUUUUACUCCUCACUGUGCUUCAACACACACAAUAAUAAUAAUAAUAAGAAGAAGAAGUGUAAGAACAGAGAUGUGCUUGGACCCAUAAAUAUUAAGAUUAUGUAUGAAUAAAGAUUAGAUACAUGAAUAUUAAUGAGGUCUAUAAUAACCUGCAUGCACAGCUCAUGUGCUCUUUAUGCUACAUUCUCACAGCAUAGAUACUUUUAUUCAUGGAUAGAAUGGUGUCAAUACACUAAGCUCCUGUGUGUGUGUGUGUGUGUGUGUGUGUGUGUGUGUGUGUGUGUGUGUGUGUGUGUGUGUGUGUGUGUGUGUACUUAAAUACACAUGCUUUUAUACCUGUA